UAGGGAAUCUUCCGCAAUGGACGCAAGUCUGACGGAGCAACGCCGCGUGAGUGAAGAAGGAUUUCGGUUCGUAAAACUCUGUUGUUAGAGAAGAACAGCGCAUAGAGUAACUGUUAUGCGUGUGACGGUAUCUAACCAGAAAGCCACGGCUAACUACGUGCCAGCAGCCGCGGUAAUACGUAGGUGGCAAGCGUUGUCCGGAUUUAUUGGGCGUAAAGCGAGCGCAGGCGGUCAAUUAAGUCUGAUGUGAAAGCCCCCGGCUCAACCGGGGAGGGUCAUUGGAAACUGGUUGACUUGAGUGCAGAAGAGGAGAGUGGAAUUCCAUGUGUAGCGGUGAAAUGCGUAGAUAUGUGGAGGAACACCAGUGGCGAAGGCGACUCUCUAGUCUGUAACUGACGCUGAGGUUCGAAAGCGUGGGUAGCAAACAGG
rnacentral:rRNA from 1 species